GUUUGCUGCUGCUCCUCCCACCACUCAACAGCAGAGGGAGGAAAUGUGUUUGGCUGCAGCUUCCAACCCUAAAAUGAACCUGCUCAGAGUCCAGAGAGGAGCUGCAGCAGAACACAAGUCAUGGAAAUGAUCAUCAAAUACUCCUCCUGUUGAAAACAAUAGUUCCUCCUGGUUCUCUGUGAGAUGGGAUGUACUGAGUCCAGAUUCUGGCCGUGGUCCUGCUCACACAAACAGAUGGACGACGUCAUCGACGAACCGACAAGAGAAGAAACCAAAUCGUUCCUGGAGGACGUGAAGGAGCCUGAAGGUGUCCUCCGUCCAGAUGAGAUGGAGGCUGACACUCGCUCUCUGACUCUUCUCCCAGUCAGCGAGCCCGUACUGGAGCUGGCUCAGAAGAUGUCACAGGAUAUCGUGGCUCAGGCUCUGCAGCUCUUCUGGGAGGUGGAGAUUCAAUACAACAACCUGCCUUUCAUCGACAAUGACUGUGAUGGUGUUAUACGAGCUGGAGAAGAGAAGUUUGUGACUUAGCCGGGACGAAAAGAAAGAGUUUUACCACCAACAUGAUGCUGUAGAGCUGCAGGAAUUCAGCUUCUCUUCACAGAAACACGUCUGCAACAUGUUAUCAGAGUAUUUGAGGUAUUUGAGCUCCUCUCACAGCACUGCAACAUGUGAUUAUAUGUGUUGGACACAAUGGAGCUCUAUGACUCAGAGGAAUAAGACAAAUCAGGCUCUGGAUGCUCAGUUUAAAUAAUAAUAUAUUAUAAGUAAUAACUGGUGGAUGAUGCAACUCAAAGUUGUGUUUGCUCUUUCCAACAAAGUUUGAACCUUAACUAAAAUAUAUCACCUUAGGCCUUUUUAACAGCUUCAACAGUCACAUCUUUCUUUAUCCUUUUACCAAGUUUACACCAUGAGCUGAUGAAAUGAAAAUAAAGUCUAUAUCCCAAACUUCCACCCA